CCCGCACAAGCGGAGGAACAUGUGGUUUAAUUCGAUGAUACGGCGAGGAAACCUUACCUGGGCUUAAAUGUAGGUUGCAUAACUUAGAAAUAGGUUUUCCCUUCGGGGCUACUUACAAGGUGCUGCAUGGUUGUCGUCAGCUCGUGCCGUGAGGUGUCGGGUUAAGUCCCAUAACGAGCGCAACCCCUAUCGUUAGUUGCCAGCGGGUCAAGCCGGGGACUCUAGCGAGACUGCCACCGUAAGGUGAGAGGAAGGUGGGGAUGACGUCAAAUCAGCACGGCCCUUAUGUCCAGGGCUACACACGUGUUACAAUGGCCGAUACAAAGGGCAGCUACCGGGCGACCGGAUGCUAAUCUCAAAAGUCGGUCCCAGUUCGGAUUGGAGUCUGCAACCCGACUCCAUGAAGUUGGAUUCGCUAGUAAUCGCGCAUCAGCCAUGGCGCGGUGAAUACGUUCCCGGGCCUU
rnacentral:rRNA from 1 species